AUCUUAUUUUCUAUUUACAGAAACUGAAACCCUCACAAAUAAACUGAUAUCAAUAAUUAACAUUGAUGGUGAUGGUGGCAAGGGUGCCUUCAUAAGGUGCCAUCCAGCAAGUCCCAGCCUGGAGCCAGAGGCUGGCACUGCACGUCAGAUGGGGGAGGAUCUGUUAGGCAUCAGAAAGGUGGUUUAAGCAAGAAGGAAAGAGCUUCUGCAGACAGUGUUGCAAUUAGACACCUGACUUUUACUGCCAAAGGGACCAUCAGAGCACCUCUCCCUACCAUCUAUACCAGAAGAGUACGGACAAGGGCCCAAAAUGUUUUAAAGGACGUUGCACGCCCAGACCAUGGACUGUUUAAACCACUGUGGUCAAGCAGAAGUCUCUGUUCUCACUCGAGGCAGGUCAUUGAGAGGGGGCGAGUGUCACUGCGUAAGCCCCCUACUGCAGGCGAGAAAGCCAUGUUGAUUUGAAUAUUGAUUGAUAAAUACAAUAAAGGCCAUGUAACAAA